rnacentral:rRNA from 1 species
AGGCAGCAGUAAGGAAUAUUGGUCAAUGGACGGAAGUCUGAACCAGCCAUGCCGCGUGGAGGAUGAAGGUCCUCUGGAUUGUAAACUUCUUUUAUAGGGGGCGAAAACGGGUCAUUCUUGAUCAACUGACGGUACCCUAUGAAUAAGCACCGGCUAACUCCGUGCCAGCAGCCGCGGUAAUACGGAGGGUGCGAGCGUUGUCCGGAUUUAUUGGGUUUAAAGGGUGCGCAGGUGGCCCGGUCAGUCAGUGGUGAAAUGCGGCCGCUCAACGGUCGAACUGCCAUUGAUACUGCCGGGCUUGAGGGAAGUGGAGGCCGCCGGAACGGACGGUGUAGCGGUGAAAUGCAUAGAUAUCGUCCAGAACGCCGAUUGCGAAGGCAGGUGGCUACGCUUCAACUGACACUGGGGCACGAAAGCGUGGGGAGCGAACAGGAUUAGAUACCCUGGUAG